rnacentral:rRNA from 1 species
GACAGAGGAGCCAAGCGUUGUCCGGAUUGACUGGGCGUAAAGCGCACGCAGGCGGGUGCGCGCGUGGGGUGUGAAACCUGGCCGCUUAACGGCCAGCGGCCAUCCCAUACGGCGCGCCUGGAGCCUUGCAGAGGGCGGUGGAAUUGCCGGUGUAGUGGUGAAAUUCGUAGAUAUUCGGAAGAACACCAGUGGCGAAGGCGGCUCACUGGUCCGGUACUGACGCUGAGGUGCGAAAGCGUGGGGAGCAAACAGG